GGCUUUGUGGCGGCAGCGGACGGUGGAGGCCGGGUGCAGCCCCGUCGGCUCCGUGCUCUCCGCAGAAAAGGAUUUUCUACGCCCCCCGCCCAUCACUUGGAUCCUGUCUGGGGAGGGAGGGGUGGGAUCUUUCUCUGGAAGUCACCCCCCACCCGCGGUGAAGGAUUUGAGGCUGGGCUCCAAUCGAGGCGGAGGCUGCAGGGCCCGCGGGCGCCCCCCACCCCGCGCACGCCUCCCGGGAGCCCAGGAAGGCGCAGCCCCGGGGGGCCCCCCUGCGCCCCCGGAGGAGGCAGCGGCGCUCCUGUCCAGUGCCCAUCAAGAAUUCGUGGGUAGGGGAACCCGUUUCCAUGCCCUUGCCCACCCCAGGAAGGACGCGGAGAAAAGUCCAAAUGAGUUUCAGAUCAACCUGCCAGUAAUUUUAGCAAGUGAGCCAUGGAGCGCAUAAAGGCCAGAAGAUGGAAAACACUCCAGGGUUGAUAAAAGGAGUUCUGCGCGGCUCAGAAUCGUCCCUCCUCUAGGCCCACCGAGAUCUAUCCGGAGAGGGUCUGAUGGAUGGAGGAAAAAGAAAUGAGACGACGUGGAGUCUCCCUUCAAGGGCUGUGCUCAUAUAAAACCGAACAACUUGAAAUUGUUCCAAGAGGGGAUUAAAGCAACAUGUUAUUUUGAGUGAUUGCUUAAUUUAUUGAGCUGCGGCUAGAUCUGUAACAAAAUACAACCCCUGCAACUGGUAACCUCCUGAUGCAAUUGAACUUCUGCAAUUAAGGACUAUUUUCCAAGAGUUUCUCUGGAAUGGCUUAGAAUCUUCAGCCUCUGUGGUGGGGUGCUUCUGAUCACUCAACUUCUGGGCAAGUUUUGGUGGUGGUGGUGGUAGUGUGUGUGUGUGUGUGUGUGUGUGUGUGUGUGUGUUGUGUUUUUUUGUUUUUUGGUCCAAGAGCGACAGGCUGAUGUCAAUAAGGAAAGGAAGCAGUGUUUAUUGACUGCCUUGUGUUCACCAUGUGCUUAAUAGACAUUAUCUCUAAUCCUGACAACGGCCCAAAGAAGUAACUCUGAUUAGUCCCUAUUUUACAGAUAUGAAGCUUGUAGCUAUUAAGUCAUUUUCCAGAGUGACGCUGUCCAAGACUGGAGCUACUAGUCUUAUGUGGCUAUUUUUGUGUGAAUUAGCUAAGGGUUAAAAAAAUCUGAACAUUCACUUCCUGGGUUGCACCAGCAACUAGUUUAAUGGGCUAGUGACUACCACAUUGCACAGCAAUGACACAGCAAGAGACAGAGACUGCACAGCACAGAGAGACUUUCAAUUACGGCAGAAAGUUUGAGGGAUCGCUCUAUCAGUGAUCUGAAAGGCAGCACAGCAAGAGACAGAGACUGUUUCGAUUAUGGCAGAAAGUUCGAGGGAUUGCUCUAUCAGUGAUCUGAGAGGCAGGAGCUGGGAGUGCCAGGAUUCAAACCCAAGCUGCUUCGAAGGCAGCACCAUUCUGUAUCAUCCCUGGCUUCCUUCUAAUCUCCCUUUGGCCAAGAAGCAGGGACUAGAGCAGUGAUUCUAAGCCCUGAAUGCACAUUAAAAUAACCCAGACUGCUUUAACAAAUAAUACUGAUGGAAGGGUCCUGGCCCCAGGAUUCUAACUUAAUUGUGAUUGGGAGGAUUU